GCCAGGUGGGGUGGUGCACGACUGUAAUCCCAGCAGCUCAGGAGGCUGAGGUAGGAGGAUCACAAGUUCAAAGCCAGCCUCAGCAAUGGCGAGGUGCUAGGCAACUCAGUGAGACUCUGUCUCUC
rnacentral:sRNA from 1 species